UUUUUGUUUAGUGUUGCGCGAGCCGGGAGUGGACGUGAGGCGGCCAAGAUGCAAAAUAUAUACGGAUAUUUUGACUCCAGCCGAUACGGACCAGACACGGGUGUCGUGCAGUGUGGGGAAUCACUGGCGGAGGACUGAGCGGUGCAGUGGUUUGUUUACAAACAAGAGGGGUCCACGUGAUAAGAAAAGAAGCUUUUCAACAGUAAAUCUUUGUGCCAUUGGAAGUUAUGUCAGAAAUCUUCCGAGGUACAGCUCAACAUGCGCCUGCUAGCAGCCUUACCUUUAGUUCACAUCCAGGAACUCUACGCCUAUUCAGGCAUUUAUUUUAUGAGAAUUGAAUAAAUAUAUUUGUCUGGGAUUUUUUUUAUAUUUUGAUAUGAAAAAUUAUGAUAAUGAUAAUGAUAAUAGAUAGAAAAGGAGAAUGAAGAUAUAAAUAUAAUAACUGUUUCAGCAGUUUCAAAUUCAAUCUACCGAAUAUAAUCUGUAAAUAUUGCCCUUGGUAUUGCUUUGACGAUUUGCGUUGGUACAUGAAAAUAUUUGAAAUUGAAAUGGUUUAAAAGCUUUGCAAACGUACCUUGUAUUAAAAAACGAUUGUAUUUGAGUACUUAAAAAUCUAAAGUCUGCUGCAAGGCUGUAGGCGAAUCAAAAGAUUUUAAAACUAUAAACGCACAUUUAUAAAGUGUAAUUACAAACCUGCUUUUUGGAGUUCAAUUUUGUUUCUAAAUUUUGUUCCAUGUCAUGAUAUUUUCAAUGUACUUUAGAACAAAUUUGUCUAUCCUCCGGAAUGACAUUUCCUCACUUUUAAUAAUGUAAUUCAUCGCUUUUUUAUAGGACAUUUUUUU